GCCAGGCAUGGUGGUACACACCUGUGAUACCAGCUACUGGGAGGCUGAGAUUGGCCUGUCUCUUGAGCUCAGGAGUUCUGAACUGCAGUGGGCUAUGCUAAUGGAUUGUCCACUAAGCUCAGUCCUGAUAGGAUGAGCCCCUCAGAGAAGAGGGCUACUGGGUUGUCUAAAGAGGGGCAAAUUGGCUCUGGUUGGAAACAGAGCAAGUCAAAACUCUUGUGUCAGUCAGUGGCAGGAUCAGGACUAUAAGUAGCUUCUGGACUUCCAACCUGCAGACAAGAUAAGGAGACCCUGUCUUUC
rnacentral:SRP_RNA from 1 species